CCUACGGGUGGCAGCAGUGGGGAAUAUUGGACAAUGGGGGAAACCCUGAUCCAGCGACGCCGCGUGAGUGAAGAAGUAUUUCGGUACGUAAAGCUCUAUCAGCAGGAAAGAAAAUGACGGUACCUGACUAAGAAGCCCCGGCUAACUACGUGCCAGCAGCCGCGGUAAUACGUAGGGGGCAAGCGUUAUCCGGAUUUACUGGGUGUAAAGGGAGCGUAGACGGCAGCGCAAGUCUGGAGUGAAAUGCCGGGGCCCAACCCCGGAACUGCUCUGGAAACUGUGAAGCUGGAGUGCAGGAGAGGUAAGCGGAAUUCCUGGUGUAGCGGUGAAAUGCGUAGAUAUCAUGAAGAACUCCGAUCGCGAAGGCAAGUGUCCGGGGUGCAACUGACGCUGAGGCUCGAAAGUGCGGGUAUCAAACAGGAUUAGAUACCCCAGUAGUC
rnacentral:rRNA from 1 species